UGGCCUCUGCGUUCAGCCCCCACCUCUGUGCACUUCAGCAGCUCCACCUGGGGGCACAGAUGCACAGCCCAGGGGACAGCCCCGGGCCACCCCCACCCGGCCCCACCCUGCCGCGGCUUGGGGAUCUAGACUGUUUUCUCGCAGCCCGCCUGCCUGACCAGGAGCCCAGUGCUGGACACAGGAGGACAGGAUGAGCCAGGGAGUGGGUGCCACACCUGCAGCACAUAAAUUCAGAUUUGGAGAGCUUAUGCUCCAUCAUAAAUUGGGCUGGCAGACUUCCGAUCAACAAGAUAAAGCUGUCUCCUGUGAGGGGACGCGAGUUCAAUACCUGGUUGGGGAACGAAGAUCCCACAUGCCGUGGGGCAACUAAGCCCGCGCACUCUAGCGCCUGCACGCCACAACUAGAGAGAAGCCCGCAUGCCACAACAAAAGAUUCCACAUGCCACAACGAAGAGCCUGCCUGCCGCAACUAAGACCCAACGC